UGUGGUUCUUGGAUGAUGUACCCUGGAAUCGGGCUCCCUCCUCUCUGGUUCCCAGUGUAUCACCCGAGAACCGCA
rfam:Myotis lucifugus cont2.55787, whole genome shotgun sequence.